GCCCGGCUGCUCAGUCGGUAGAGCACGAGACUCUUAAUCUCGGUGUCGUGGGUUCGGAGCCCACGUUGGGCG
rnacentral:tRNA from 1 species